rnacentral:snRNA from 1 species
AGUGUGCUAACAGAUGAUCUAGC